rnacentral:rRNA from 1 species
UACGAAGGGGGCUAGCGUUGUUCGGAAUUACUGGGCGUAAAGCGCGCGCAGGCGGUUCUCCAAGUCAGUGGUGAAAGCCCGGAGCUCAACUCCGGAAUUGCCAUUGAAACUGUUGAACUCGAGGACGAGAGAGGUGAGUGGAAUUCCCAGUGUAGAGGUGAAAUUCGUAGAUAUUGGGAAGAACACCGGUGGCGAAGGCGGCUCACUGGCUCAUUUCUGACGCUCAGGCGCGACAGCGUGGGGAUCAAACAGG